rnacentral:rRNA from 1 species
UAGGGAAUUUUCGUCAAUGGGCGCAAGCCUGAACGAGCAAUGCCGCGUGAGCGAAGAAGGUCUUCGGAUCGUAAAACUCUGUUGCGGGGGAAAAAGGAAGGGAAGAGGAAAUGCUUUUUCUUUUGAUGGUACCCCGCCAGAAAGUCACGGCUAACUACGUGCCAGCAGCCGCGGUAAUACGUAGGUGGCAAGCGUUAUCCGGAAUGAUUGGGCGUAAAGGGUGCGCAGGCUGCGCGUCAAGUCUGAAGUGAAAGGUACGGGCUUAACCGGUACAGGCUUUGGAAACUGGCAGGCUGGAGGACAGGAGAGGGCGGUGGAACUCCAUGUGUAGCGGUAAAAUGCGUAGAUAUAUGGAAGAACACCGGUGGCGAAAGCGGCUCUCUGGUCUGUAACUGACGCUGAGGCUCGAAAGCGUGGGGAGCAAACAGGAUUAGAUACC